CCCCAGGUCAGGCGGGGCUACCCG
rnacentral:rRNA from 1 species